rnacentral:lncRNA from 1 species
GGCACCGUCUGCAGCGUGCAGAGGCAUCUGUGUGACAGUGCUUCUGUUCUAGGAAAUUCAAGUGAAGACAGAGUGCCUCUUGCUGUCCUUCAGUGCCAGCCAGCGCUGUGGGGGUGGGUGCUCAUGCUAGACAGCUCAACGUGGGGACUGGGGGGCCUCCUAACAGCACUAAGGACACGGCCGCAGGGAGUCGGGAAGACCGGCCGCCUCUGCUCAGUCCUGCUCCUCCGGCGUCCGAGCACGGCUCUCACUUCGGUCCGAAGAUGCGAGUGGGCAUUGGUGAGCAGGUGAUGAAACCACAGGGGCUCACGCCGGCUAGAAGCAGCACGGAGGACACCGUGAUCCCUGCAGAGCCACAGGCGAGGCCAGUCUGGAGCGUCAGAGUCACUGCCCGGAGGACGCUCCCUGGGAGGAGUCUGCCCUGUUUGACUUGCUCCUCUAUUCUCUUCGCCACAAAGGAAGAUGGGAACGAAGACAGGGAGCUGCGCGUUUGAAGUGGAAACUGAGUUUCCCUGGCGACAUUGUAAGCGAUGUUUCAAAUGUUUCUUGCAAAGGGGAAGAUGGAAGGCUGGGGUGUGCUGUCCGUUGGACAAGUCAAGUCCCCUCCAACCCUCAAGUGUCAGGUUGGGCAUGUGGUCAGGCGGCAGCCCUGGAAGGCAGCCACCUCUGUGUGGCUCCCACCUGCUGUGUCCUGAUGUUUGGGGUGGGGAGGGGGGGCAAGUUGGCCUGGGCCUUGAGACCAGGCUUGGGCCUCUGCCUCUCUGAGCAUCUGGGUGAGCCGAGCCCGGGAAGGCCAUUCCCAGCGGCAGUGGGCUCUGUGUAAGGUUAAUACUUGGAGGGCUCAUAGCACCAAGUGCGCCUUCCCCGCCGUCGCCCCGCUGAUUCUCCUCCUGAGGCCUGUCCUUGCUGCUGGCACCUCUGCUGCAAACCCGAAUUCUUACGAAGCCCCUGCUGUGCACCCAGCCCUGCGUGUUGAUCCUUCGCCUAGCCUACAGGUAGGAAUCCUCAUCCUUGGAAAGAGGGCCUGCUGAGGGAGGUGAUUUGCCC